rnacentral:lncRNA from 1 species
GGUGGAGGCUGCCUGCUUGCAGAUGCCCGGGGCCUCACCCCGUCCCUGGACUGACUCUCUCCUGCCUUUUCUCUCUGCAGCCUUUGCUAGGGAAGGCCUGCUUGUAAGUAUUUCUCGGGACCCUUGUGCUCUGGGUGCCUCUGCCGUCGCCGGCCACUCUGGCUUCUUGGCCGUUGAGUGUUGAGGAUGCUUGACAGUUGCUGUGAAAGCUGGAGGAGGGACCUGGGAUUCUUGAGCUUUCAGGAAAGGAUGCAGGCAGUUGAGGGGUUUUGGGGGGUGUCCUCCUGCCUUGAGGCUGUGCUCCCUUGUCCUCGCUCCCUCGUGGGGCCCGGGGUUACUGUUAGUAUUUGCUGUGGUCAGUGGCUGGACGUCUGGGGGUCAACCUUUUCCCACGUAAGGUCAGAUUUUGGCUCAGGGUUAAGGUCUGUGCCCUUUUAUUUUAAAAGGGAAGUUUGCCCAUAGCCGUGGUGGAGGUUCUGAGCCCUCCUGUCCUGGCCGGGACCCCCCUCAAGGUACUUGGGAACCACCGUCCUGCCUCGGAACCUGCUUGGCCUUCAUGGUCAUGUUCAAGGUUGGGCGUGGCUUUUGCUCUGCAGGACGUUCCUGGUUCAGGGUUAGCAGCUGCCAGAUGACUUGGCCUUGCCUCUGCUCCCUGGUCUCUGGCCGCAGAAGCAGCCAAGGCCUUUAUAUCACAGAGUUUUAGUAACAGCCACUGUGAACUGUCACCCCCAACCCCUUGUCACCCCCCCGCCCCCCACUGUCUGCCCUUUGGCUGGUCGGAUUGCCUGGAUCGAUGCCCGCAGACUCGUGGCAAAUUGGAGUAGUUGGGCAUCGUGCUUGGACCACGUGUCGAAAAAUGCAUUUCGUCACUUGACAGCUCAUGGAGAACGUGCCUAUAUGUGUCCCAAGUCUUUGGUCCUUAGACUAACCCCAGGAGGUCUCAGGGCACUUCCUGUGUCCGUUUCCCAGUUGAAGGCGACUCUCGCCCAUGGACGCCCAGCUGCUCCAAGGCACAACCAGCCCUUGAGCGGCUCUCCCCGUCCCGAGGGUCAGCUGCUUUCCCUGGGCUGUUUUCAGAACAACCAGGGGCCCGUUCGCCUCCCUGUCCCUGGUACCUGACAUUUGCCGCCUCUGAAAACGUCUGAGUCCCCUUCUCGUUGCCGCAGCCUCCCCUGCAGCUGCUUCCUGUGGCUGCGGUGUGUUUAUUUUAAUGGCCCCCUGCCUGUCAUGCUCAGUCUUUAAGAGUAGCAGACCCACGUCUUUUACCCCCACCCCACGCCCUGCAAGCCAGGCGUUUCCUGCGGGACGACCCAGGAUCGAGUUCCCCUUCUGUGCAAACUAGCCUUUGGGUUGGGAAGCUUCCGGUUCUGCAUCUGUGCGUGUUCCUUUUGAGCCACCGCCCAUGUUGCCAGGAAAGCAAACUUUCUGCCAGGGCCGGUGGGGGGGGCUUGGGCACAUCCCCCACCUUCCAAGGUUGAACCUGCCCAUCUCUAUGGCUGCAAUAGUACCUUUGGCCAGAAUUCCUCCAGGUCUGCAAAAAUGUCUUCUCUGGACCCAUCACACCUGCACUGCACUCUGGACCCAGCGUUGAGGUGUUUUGAUGAUGACAAUAUACACAUAGCACUUGGCAGAACACCUGGCACGUGGUCAGCGUCGAGUGGACGAUAGCAGUUCCCCUGGGAGACAGGGUGCCCUGUGCC